UAGAUUUAUACAAUUCUAACGAAUUGAAUAUAACAGAAAGUAGCUUUCUUUAUGGAAAUACAAUAUAGCUCGGUAAAGGCUCAUUGAUUCCCUGAAAAAAGGACAGGAUCCUAUUUCAAUUUUCUUUCGAAAAAUAAAACUACGUUAUUUAGAUUUCUUCAUCAUUUAUCUGAAACAAAAUUACAAAGUAGAGAAAUACGAGAUUUUCAAAGAUACAAAAUAUGAGAAUCGAUAUCUAUUUACUUUUAUAUAACACGUUAUUCACUUUCGACUAGGUCUUAUUCUAAGGGGAGGGAGUCUUAUUUUCAGACUAGGUCCUAAUUUUGGAGACCACUUGCAGACACAGAUCAGGUGCUUGCAUUAGUGUAUUGCAACCGCCUCUUCGAUGCAAGAGUAUUUGAUCCCAGAACUACCGACUGGGUGUAUUUUUGAUCGGUCGCGGGUGGAAAACACUUCUUAGAAAUCUUGAGAACAAGUUCUUGUUCUACCUCCGAAUCUAGUCGUGUGGUUGGUAUACUUUAAGAAGCUUCGGAAAAGUAGAAAGAUAGGGGUAGAUUGGGCAAAACAUGGAUCAAAAAUUGUGCAAUUGAAGGUUGAUUCUGUCUAGUUACCAAAGCAAAAUUUGAAUGUUUGUAAAGAAACCCCGUGUUAAAUCCUUGAAUAUUUGCGUUCCGAAUAUAUCAGUCAUCCAUAAGACUCCAAGCGCAAUUACCCAUAAUGCAAUCGUUACACGUGUUCUGUUCAGCUUCGACCUUGCGUUCACAUCCAGUUAGAUCAGGUGGAGUCUCGCCUUGGACGCUCGUAGCUUCGGCAUUCUUAUCAGCUUUUCUCGAUAGUCUGCCUGCAAGAUGCAAAGGAAGAAAUGGAAAUUAUAAAGCCAUCCUUGUUCUUUACAGUAUUUCGCAUGUGAUAGGAGGAAUGGCAAGGAUAUCUUUCGUGCUACAGAAUAGUAAAUGACUGGAUUUCAGCGAGAUACAAUGAAUCUGGAAGAUUGUACGUACAAGAUAAGUAUACGUUGUUUAAUAGAUCAGAUUUCAAGCACAAGUAGUUUAACUCAGAAAAUGUUUUUGUACUGGUUAGCGAUGGAUGCCUAUUCAGUUUCGAUCCCGCUCUUUGCUUAUUGCGCGUCUUUUUUCAAGAUUAUAUCAUGAAAAAAAUGGUAUUUGUUUGCUGUAGGCAAAAUUUUAAUUUUAGCAUGGGUAAUUGUUUGACUGUAGUUUAGUAAAUCUCAAAAUCUACGCACCGCCUGUAUUGUGGCCGUAGUUUCACGGCUAUGUCACUUAUUGAUGAAGUUUACUAUUCUUCUGCGUAACAAGCAUGUUGCAUGAAUGACAGACAGUAUGUUAGUCUUCCGCGUGAGAAAAUUCAAUCGGCGUAUGGCUGUGUACUCUUUCUGGGUAGCGUGAUUCGGUUGACUACGAGUCUACAACUUGCGUAUUUCCAAUUCCUUUCCAUUCCUUAGAUAUUUGAAGUGAUUUGUACGAUUUUUUCACUGCCUUUUUUUACAUUUGUUUGGCUUCCAGUUAUAGUUAGAUUCCCAAGUCGGCCUGAUUUUUACCUUAGUAUUGUAGGAUACAAUACAAUACUACUACUAUUGUAGGUGUAUAUUUGUUUAUUGUGGUUCAGUUCAGUUGUUGAACCAAACAAUGAAUGAACGCCGCUGGUUUUGUAAAGUAGACUUUCCACAGGCUUAUAUACAAUUUGUGAA